rnacentral:lncRNA from 1 species
GAGGGGCACCAUAUUGCUUCAUCCAAAACCGGUUUAAGGAUAAGAAGACCUUUGUACAAUUUUGUUGGCUUCAGAGGGGCACCAUAUUGCUUCAUCCAAAACCGGUUUAAGGAUAAGAAGAUUUGAGAAAGAGCAGAUAUGGUGUAUCUGAAUUGCUGGAGAUUCAUUCGUGCAAAGAGACAUCAUGAUAAAAUUCAGCUAAAAAAGAGAAGGGGGGAGUAAGAUAUGAAGCAGACGUGGUGGUACGAUAGGAGCAAUGGAUUUUGAUAAAAGGUAAAAAAGCUUCUAUUAAUUAACAACCAAAAGGAUUAGAUUACUGAAUUGUUUUCCUACUAUGCAAAAUGCUUUACAGCAAAAUGUGGAUUGAAAAC